rnacentral:rRNA from 1 species
GAAGGUGGGGAUGACGUCAAGUCAUCAUGGCCCUUACGAGUAGGGCUACACACGUGCUACAAUGGCGAGUACAGAGGGAAGCGAGACAGUGAUGUGGAGCGGACCCCUUAAAGCUCGUCGUAGUCCGGAUCGGAGUCUGCAACUCGACUCCGUGAAGUCGGAAUCGCUAGUAAUCGCGUAACAGCAUGACGCGGUGAAUACGUUCCCGGGCCUUGUACACACCG